rnacentral:lncRNA from 1 species
AAAAGAAAAGUACUGUUUCAAACCCUCUUGCUCUUCUUUAAUUUUUUUCUUUUGACAUCUAACCUUCCUCUUCCAGGGUUGUGUUUACUAUGUUACAAUACUGACUUUAUCUCAUUCCCACCUCCUGGCUUCCCCCUCCCCAACCAGUUCACACUAUAUCACUGUGGCCAGGUCCUGAUGAGUACCCUACUUUGUCUCACAGGUGGCUACCCUAGAUUAACAGGUCAGACUGCCCUCUUGUCAGAUCCUUGUCUGUUCGUUCCUUUGUUUCCCCUUUUCUGUGGUCCCUACUUUGUUGUCUCAAGUGAGGACUGGAGAGCUCUAGAGAGUGUGUUGAUCAAGAAGACGAGAGAAGCAUACUUACGUGCUUAUUCCUCUACUCAAUGAGGUGCAUGUUUGGUUGCUUCUACAGUGGAAGAAGUAAAACAAUUGGAGGAGAAAGUGAGUUGAUUUUUUUUUCCCCCAAUAGGUGAGCCUAGGUUUGACAUGCUAUUGAGAUAAAAGCUCUGCAGAAAAGAGGGGCAAGGGGAAUUUUGUGGGGUAGAUAGGCUCAACAUUGGGUUAGGGAGGUGUCAUAUGUGUGGGCAGGAGUUUGAUGCUCAGGUCAGUAUUUACCUUUACCUUUUUUGAGGUAGGGUCUUCUGCCAUCACCUCCACCUCUGUAAUCCAGGCUGCAUGGCCUUUGAACAUCCCAAGGUAUGUUCUGCUGCAUCUAGUCAUGAUUUUAUGACAGCAGUAGAAAGCAAACUGAUACAGAGCCUACUGGUGAACCAAGACAAUAUCUUGGUUAUUUAACACAGGAUGACUUUAAGCUCAAGAUUAUAGUCAUGUAUCCCCAAGUUUGUUUUAUAAGACAUUGUUUGAGACUGGAUGUAGCAUAAUCUUGCAUUCAAUUCCUUAUUUCUCCACCACUUAAACUAGGCAUGGUGGCAGGUGGCAGAUACUUGUAAUCCUAGCCCUUGGAGGUGAAGGUGGAAAGAUCAGAAUUUUGUUGCUAGCCUCAGAUGCAUCAAGAGUUCAAGGCAAGUCUAGGCUACAUGAGGAGCCUGUCUAUAAAAUAAAAUAAAUUAAAAAUUAAGUUUAAAAGUUAAAAGUAAGUUAAUUUAAAAAAUUAAAAAAUUAAAAAAAUACAUUCUAAAGGGAAAAUAGUAUAAUAGUGUUUUGGAAACCCCAAAGAGUCAUAUUUGGGUUAUACUUUGUUUUAUGGUCCCAUGUGGUAGAUAAGGGAAAGUCACUGAAAGUUUUAGAAUAAAGCAGUGAUUUGAUCAUAGUAGGAAAUUUGAUCACUGUAGAAAAUUAAUCUGGCAACUGGAUCACAUUGAGUAUAGAUUAUAUAUACUUAAAGGCAGAUGGAAGUGUGUCAGAUGACAUAGAUUUGGGGGCUAUUUGUACUGGGUAUAAACAAACAGUAUACAGUUUCCUAAAGAGAAACUGAUGAGAUGAGCAGGCCAAGAGUGUUUGGGCUCUGAUUGUUCAUGGAUAGGAGGUGAAGAAGUGUUUGGAGACUAGCAAGGUAAUCAAACUUGAAAAGGAAAAGAUUUGAGAAUGGAUACUUGCUGAUAUCAAUGUCAUAGAAGAAGAAAUUUGGAUUCAUAAGAAUGCUAUUGAGUUUGGAACUUAAGAAUUUAUUGGUAACCUUCAAGCAUGAUAUUUCAGUCAUAUAUAAGUAAAUUGGAUUUUCCAGGAUUAAAUUGCAUGUGAUCAGAAAAAAAAAUGGUGUGCACAUUUGUGUGAUGGCCUAAUGACAAUCUUUGUUGACAUUCCUAAGAUAAUAUCCAUCCUGUUUUUGGACACUGAGCCUCUCAGUGGCCUGAAAUUCACUGAUUAGACUAGGUUGGCUGGUUAUCCAGCUUCAGGAUCCACCUGUUGCUGCCUUCCAGCACUAGGAUUACACACAUGUGCCAGAUGCUUGCCUUUUAGAGUGUGGGUUCUAGGGUGUGAGCCCAGGUCCUCAAUGCUUGAGCAAGCACUUCACUGACUGGGCUGUCUACCAGCCCCAGGAGUAAAUGUAUUGAGUUUUUAAGUACUUGUUCAAGAUGUUUGGCACUAAAGGAUAUAUUGUAGAAAAUAGAGAUCAAGAGAUCUUUGCAUAGAGGGAAAUAGAGGGGAUGUAGUAAUAAUAACACAGGCAUUAUGAACAGAUACUAGGGAAGGAUAACAGAGGUUAGAGGAGUAAUGGUAUCAAGACAUGGACUUACAAAUAGGUUAGUAUUAGACUUCCCUUAGAGUGUAAGUGUAUUUUGCUGUCUAUGGAUUUACAAAUAGGGUUGUACUGGGGCCUUCUUUAGAGAGCUUAUUUUGCAACCAGCCUUGCUUUAGGGUUAGGGGGAAAAUCCUCAAAAUAAAUUUUAGAGUAGAGAGUAGUUGAAGUUUUUCCAGAGGCGUAAUUUAAGAAACUAGGAUCAGAUAAAUCAAAGAUAUGACAAACAUAUAGUGGUCAAACCAACCAAACAAAAAAACUAUAAAAAAUACUUAAAAGAAUGUUAAACUGGGGACUGGUGAGAUGGCUCAGUGGAUAAGAGAACUGACUGCUCUUCCAAAGGUCAAAUCCCAGCAACCAUAUGGUGGCUCACAAACAUCCAUAACAAGAUCUGACUCCCUCUCCUGGAGUGUCUGAAGACAGUUAUUGCAUAUAAUAAAUAAAUAAAUCUUUUAAAAAAAGGAAUGUUAAACUGUCAAAUAUAUACACUAUCUAGUUCUAUACUUCAAAUAAGAGAAGCCUAAGUAAAGUUUGAAGUGAAUCUCCCAGAGUCUCCCCACAAAUGACCGAAAUAGGAUUUUGAAAGGUCUCAUAACUUCAGUCUGCCAGGUUUGUGUGUGUGUGUGUGUGUGUGUGUGUGUGUGUGUGUGUGUGUGUGUGUGUGGUGGAGUUGUGGGUAUGGGUUCAAUAAUUGAGUCCUCAGUUAAUGUGAAUUGUAUGCGUUGUAAGAGAGUAUUCAUGAUAUAAAGAAUACAAAUACGAAAAUCUAUGCUUUUGUGGCACAGGUUUGCUUUUCAGUUUUUUAUGUUGAGUGUGGCUUGUGUUUGUAUAUUUAGUAUGCAUGCUUGCAGAGUCCAUAGGAGAAUUAUCCUGUUCUAUAACUCACCAUCUAUUCCUUUGAGACAGGGUCUCUCACUAAACCAUGAGCUAGGAUAGCAAUUUGCAAGCCUCAGUAACACAUAGUACUGAGGUCCCAGGGGGCAUACAUGGCCAUACCCAGCUUUUUUUUUUUUCUUUUCUUUUCUUUUUUUCCGAGACAGGGUUUCUCUGUGUAGUCCUGGCUGUCCUGGGACUCACUCUGUAGACCAGGCUGGCCUCGAACUCAGAAAUUCCCAUGCCCAGCUUUUAUAAAAUAUGGGUGCUAGGGAUUCCAACUGAGGCACUCAUGCUUGUGCGACAGUGCUCUUUCCCAAUGUGCUAGCUCCCUAGCCCCUUCAUCUUUUUUUUUUUUUUUUUUUAAAGAUUUAUUUUAUAUGUGUGUGUGUUAGUCAGGAUUUCUAUUCCUGGACAAAACAUCAUGACUAAGAACCAAGUUGGGGAGGAAAGAGUUUAUUCAGUUUAUACCUCCAAACCGCUAUUCAUCACUAAAGGAAGUCAGGACUGGAAGUCAAGCAGGUCAAGAAGCAGGAACUGAUGCAGAGGCCAUGGAGGGAUGUUCUUUACUGGCUUGCUUCCCCUGGCUUGCUCAGCUUGCUCUCUUAUAGAACCCAAGACUCCCAGCCCCAGGAUAGCACCACCCACAAGGGGCCCUUCCCCCUUGAUCACUAAUUGAGAAAAUGCCUUACAGCUGGAUCUCAUGGAGGCAUUUUCUUAACUGGAGCUCCUUUCUCUUCCAUAACUCCAGCCUGUAUCAAGUUGACACACAAAACCAGCCAGAACAGUGUGAGUACACUGUUGCUAUCUUCAUACACACCAGGAGGCGGCCUUGGAUUUUAUUACAGAUGGUUGUGAGCCACCAUGUGGUUGCUGAGAAUUGGGCUUAGGAACUCAGGAAGAGCAGUCAGUGCUCUUAACCACUGAGCUAUCUCUCUAGUCCCCCAACUGUUUCUUUAUGAUAAGAGAUAUUUACUAUUUGCCAAUUUUGCCUUCCAUGAAAUUUAAGAUUUAAAAUGCAUGUCUGGGCCAAAGAGAGGUUGCAGUUCAUUAAAUAAAGGCUCUUAAGUAGGAAGUUAUAUUUGAUUGGAUUUAACAGUGAGACUU